rnacentral:rRNA from 1 species
ACGGAGGGUGCGAGCGUUGUUCGGAAUUAUUGGGCGUAAAGCGCGGGUAGGCGGUCCUUUAAGUCUGAUGUGAAAGAUCUGGGCUCAACCCAGGUCGUGCAUUGGAAACUGGGAGACUUGAAUAUAGGAGAGGGUAUUGGAAUUCCUAGUGUAGCAGUGAAAUCCGUAGAUAUUAGGAGGAACGCCAAUGGCGAAGGCAGCUAACGGGACUAUUAUUGACGCUGAGACGCGAAAGCGUGGGGAUCAAACAG